rnacentral:tRNA from 1 species
AACUUAAGGAUUUAAGUUAAAAAAACUAUUAACCUUCAAAGUUAAAAAUAGAGGGUCAAUUCUA